AUGUGCAGCUGCGGUAGGACUCUCAGCUACGACCGGCAGCUGCACAUCCACGUCCAAGCGCUAGCUAGGAUCGUCAACAACGGCCGGCAGCAGGACAUCCAUGUGGAGGUGGCGCUGUCGGGCGAGGUCAGGUACCAGGCGCACUCCAGCGAGUGCAAGUUCCAGGCCAGAUGCACGCUCAAGAUGCAGGGCACGCCGGCCGUCGUGUACUCGUGUUCCAGAAGGUCUAAGUGCAAAGCUCGCUCCGGCCGGCAGAUAAGAACUGGAACUGACUCUCCUUUUAACCCCAAGUACUCAUCUCUGCAGUGGCAAUGCUUUGAUUUUAUCCAGCUAAUAGUUGUAUGA
rnacentral:rRNA from 1 species